GCCAAAUGCUUUCUUGAUGUGCCGGGGUCGACCCAAUCAUCCUUUGGGUCGACUCAAUCCACACUUUGCUGCAUCUCAAGGUUAGAUUCAUUCAUAUAAACAAUGAAAUGUAUCUAUAUCAAUUUAUACAAAUAUACUGAGAGUAAUAGACUUAUAAAUGAAGUAUCGAUUUAACUUAUAACAUACUCUAGAUAAUUGCUUGUUAAUCAUCAAAAUAACACUAUCAUCCUCAAUCUUCCCCUUUUUGAUGAUUACAAAAUAAAGAGUAUGAGCCUAUUGAUACUUAUCUUAAAAUUAGUUUUAAAAGGGCUUAACUUGCUGAAAUUCAGCUUUUCAAAAUAUAAGA
rnacentral:lncRNA from 1 species